AUGACCCCAGAAUCUUGGGCUGAGGUUGUGUACACCCAGUCCCAAUCACUGUUGGGAUCAUUGGGGCAGAAGAUCACCAUCUCCUGUACCCGCAGCAGUGGCAGCAUUGAUAGCAAUUCUGCAUCCUGGUAUCUUCAGCGUUCAGCAAACACAUCCCGCCUGCUCAUCUACAGAUAUGACCUAAGACCCUCUGGGGCUCCUGAUCGCUUCUCUGGCUCCAAGGACAGCUCCUCCAGCUCUGCCAUCCUAACUAUCUCUGGGUUGCAGGCUGAGGAUGAAGCUGACUACUACUGUCUGUCUGUCUAUGACAACUAUUUCACACAGAGCCUCAGACUGAUGGGGAACUGA